rnacentral:lncRNA from 1 species
GAAGCCAUAGUUAGGGUUUUUAAGCUUCCAAGCUCAAUAGUAAGUGAUUCAAAGCCCCGUUUUUAAUGUUCUUUACGUUUUUGGAGUCCUGGUAGCUUAAUUUAGCUUAUUCUAGCAAUAAUUUAACCUAGGGUCUAUAUUUGGAAAAAUACCCAUAGGUGAAAAGUGUUUAUUUUGCUGUUUUAUGGUGGAAUAUGAAUCAAGAAAUUAUGUUAAACAACUUUUGCUAAGCGAUUUUAAACGAAAACGGGUAAAUUGACAUAAUCGGUAAAAAUAGUUAAUGUUCAAAAGCAUGUGUUAGAGUGAGAAUUUGGUGUUUCCAUAGAAGGGAAAAGUGUUCAGCAUGUUGUAAAACAUAAGAAUAAGAGAUGAAAUUUAAUUUCUGAGCUUAGGGAUAAAAGUGUAAAUAUUCAAAAGUUUGGGGGCAAAAUUGUAAUUUUUAAAAAAGUUGGGUAGAGGACUAUUUUAUUAAAUUUGAACAUUAAAUGAGUUAAAUUUGCUAUUAUAGAUCAAGAAAGAUGAGAAGACUACCUCAAACGGGGAAAAGAGAAGAUAGUGGAGUAAAUUGCAAAAUUACGAUAUUUUGCACUGAGGUAAGUAAACAUGUGAAAUAAUGCAUAUUUUUAUAUUAUUUGAUAUAUGUUGAGAUUUAUUUGAACAUAUAAUAAAUAUUUGGCAAAGAUUCUAAAAGUGUGGUUAAGUUGGGAAAGGUGGUAAAGUGUUGAAAAACACAGUUUCCGGUUGAACACUCGGAAUAGGUUGGAUUACAUUGAAUAUAAAGGGGGUUGCUAAGUGCUGAUUCUCCCAAGGGGUUGCUAAGUGCUGAUUCCCCCAAGGGGUUGCUAAUUGUUGAUUCCCCGAUUCAUUGGUGGUUGCUAAGUGCUGAUUCCACCGUAUCUUAAAUGUGAAAGGGGUUGCUAAGUGCUGAUUCCCCGACUCAUUGGUGGUUGCUAAGUGCUGAUUCCACCGUAUCUUAAAUGUGAAGGGGGUUGCUAAGUACUGAUUCCCCCGAGGGGUUGCUAAGUGCUGUUUCCCCGAAUCAUUGGUGGUUGCUAAAUGCUGAUCCCACCGUAUCUUAAAUGUGAAAGGGGUUGCUAAGUGCUGAUUCCCCGACUCAUUGGUAGUUGCUAAGUGUUGAAUCCACUGAUAACGGAUAACAUUCCGAGUGUUCAACGAGGAAAUUGGAAAGGUGAAUAUUUAUAUAUGGUGGACAAGUUUAUGGGAGAAAUAUUGGGUUUGAUACUUAAUCAACCCAUAUGUAAGAUGGGAGGAAAUAUAAAAAAUACAAAAGAACAAUUUAAAUAUAAAACUGUUUUGAAUAAUAAUAGAUGGGCAAAUUUGAAAAAUCACCAUAAAUGGUGGAAAAUGAAUUAGAGGUUGAAUAAUAUAUGAAAUUGAAGCUGGAUGAGUUUAUUUUCAUAUUAAAGAAAUAGAGCAAGCAAAAGAGUUGUAUAUUUGGGGAUAUUUGAAUUUUAUUGAGACAAGGUUGAAUUGAUUUUGAAAUCCCCUGUUCCAACUUUGGAAAAUCUCCAUAAAUUGUAAAAAAAUAAUUAUGGCCUGAAAUUUAUAUUUUUGGAUUCCUUAAUGAGUCUAUUUCUAAUAUAAACAAACGAGAACAUUGUUUGAAUUCUGUACAGAGAGUUAAGUAAAUUUUAGUAAGGAGAGGUCAGAACUGUUGAGCAGCGAAACAAGGGAAUCUUUAGAGAAUAAACUGUACUAAUUGGCCAAACCAAAAAUUCUGAAAAUUUUAUGCUGGAAAUUUAUAUUAAUCUAGUUUCGGGGAAAAUUUACAGAACUUAAUUUGGAGCCAUGUAGCUCCAGAUAAAAAUAAAUUAGUGACCAUGAUGCAGAAAAACAGCUUGCUGGAAAUUGAACAAACAAUAAAAUUUAUGUGUGAUUAAAAUUAUGUUACUAUGUAAUCAUGUGAGGAAUUUAUUUAUUGGUCAUAUGUUUACUUACUAAACUAUAUUCUUACUCGUUUUUUAUUUUCCCUUGAUUAUAGUGACAUCAAUCAGCUCGGAACUUGACGACGUCAGAUAAUCAUCCACACUAUCAUCAACUUUUUGGGUAUUUUGCAAUUAAUACUUUGGAAACAUGGCAUGUAUAGAUGACUUUAUGUAAUGUGGUAUAAAUAUGUAUAUAUUCAGUAUUGUUCGG